AUGGGCUCGGCCCAUCUUCCCCUUUUUUCUGUUGUAGACCAAAAACAUGCAUGCGCGUCCGGUGGUAUUCGAACAAGCGACCUCCUAGUCGUACGCACCUGCACUAACCAGCUCAUGUGCUCAACUACAUCAUCUUCACUCUUUUCUUCUUAUUUCUUAUUUAUUUUCUAUUUCUUUUUUCUUCCUUUUCUUUUACUUUUACUUUUUCCUUUUUAUUUUUUAUUCGGAAUCGUUUGUUCGGUUUUUUAUUAUUUUGCUAAUUUGAAUAAGAAGUUUUUCAAAAUGGAUGAACUCUUUUAA
rnacentral:rRNA from 1 species